AGCAGCCGCGGUAAUUCCAGCUCCAAUAGCGUAUAUUAAAGUUGUUGCAGUUAAAAAGCUCGUAGUUGAAUUUCGGGAUCAAUAUGUUGGUCGUGCCUUGGUACGUACUGGCAUUAUCGAUUCCUACCUUCUGAAGAACCUCGAUGUCAUUAAUUUGGUGUCUUGGGGAAUCAGGACUGUUACUUUGAAAAAUUAGAGUGUUUAAAGCAGGCUCGCGCUUGAAUACAUUAGCAUGGAAUAAUGAAAUAGGACGUUUGAUUCUAUUUUGGUGGUUUCUAGGAUCGACGUAAUGAUUAAUAGGGAUAGUUGGGGGCAUUAGUAUUCAAUUGUCAGAGGUGAAAUCCUUGGAUUUAUUGAAGACUAAACUACUGCGAAAAGCAUUUGCCAAGGAUGUUUUCAUUAAUCAAGAACGAAAGUUAGGGGAUCGAAGACGAUCAGAUACCGUCGUAGUCUUAACCAUAAACUAAUGCCGACUAGGGAUCGGAUGAUGUAAUUUUAAAUG
rnacentral:rRNA from 1 species